CCUAAGUAGAACAGCCCAAUCUCAUGUCAAAUAUUCCACAUAUGCCCCCAAACCUCUUAAUAUUUAGGAGUAAAAUUACUGCAAAUGAACUGGCGCCACAUGUGGCCAGAGAAACUGACAGUGAAAUCAGCAAGAAACUGCUUAUUCAGCCUCUUCAAACAAAAAUGAAUUGUUUUGAUGAAUGAGAAUUCUUUAAUGAAUUACCACAUGACAUGCCAGCAAUUUUUUCAAUGUCAAGCAGAGAAAGUUUUCAUUUGUCUUUUGUUUGGUUACAGCUACUUAAAAAUAAUGGAAGGUCACGGCCAGUGAGACAACACUUCCGAUUAAGGCCCUCCAGAAGCAGGAGCCCAAAGAACAGGGCAGGGGGGUGUGUUUUCCAGGAGCAUGUACUUACAACUUUUGCAGUGGACGUCAGCACCUCACUCGCCUGGUUGGGAGUUUUAGAGGUCCACCCUUUCCAGAGAAAAAGUGAGAGGAAGAGAAGUGGAUAAAAAUCUCUAAAAUUCAAGCCUCAUUACUCCACGAUAUUCCAAGCGUCUGGCAGCAGCCCCUCCAAAACAGUGAAGCAUGGGCUCCAUCACCUGCCUCUGCUGAGCUCCCAGCUUCCGCCCAUGGGACCUCCAGAUGACCAACCAGUUCCCUUCGUUUCUAGGAGUCGACUGCACAAUUUGUGGAUUGCAUAGAUGCUUUGCUUCUACUUUUUCUUUUCUUGGGAGCCAUUUCGUCUUUAUCUCUUCAAAAAACUAGUAGUGUUUUGUACACAGUGGGCUCA
rnacentral:lncRNA from 1 species